GCCUGAGGAUAGCUCAGUUGGUAGAGCGUGAGACUCUUGAUCUCAGGGUUGUGGGUUUGAGUCCCACAUUGGGCA
rnacentral:tRNA from 1 species